rnacentral:rRNA from 1 species
GAUGAAUGCUGGCGGCGUGCCUAACACAUGCAAGUCGAGCGGCAGCGAGGGGUGCUUGCACCCUGUCGGCGAGCGACGAACGGCUGAGUAACGCGUAGGAAUUUGCCCCAAAGUGAGGAAUAACUGCCCGAAAGGGUAGCUAAUGCCGCAUAUGGUCUUCGGAUUAAAGGAUUUAUCCGCUUUGGGAGAAGCCUGCGUUGGAUUAGGUUGUUGGUAGGGUAAUGGCCUACCAAGCCGACGAUCCAUAGCUGGUCUGAGAGGAUGAUCAGCCAGACUGGAACUGAGACACGGUCCAGACUCCUACGGGAGGCAGCAGUGAGGAAUCUUCCACAAUGGGCGAAAGCCUGAUGGAGCAACGCCGCGUGAAGGAUGAAGGCCUUCGGGUUGUAAACUUCUUUUAUGAGUGAAGAAUAUGACGGUAACUCAUGAAUAAGCACCGGCUAACUACGUG